UACGCGGCAAGCGAGACAGGGUCCAGACGCCUACGGGAGGCAGCAGUGGGGAAUAUUGGACAAUGGGCGAAAGCCUGAUCCAGCCAUGCCGCGUGUGUGAAGAAGGUCUUCGGAUUGUAAAGCACUUUAAGUUGGGAGGAAGGGCAGUUACCUAAUACGUGAUUGUUUUGACGUUACCGACAGAAUAAGCACCGGCUAAC
rnacentral:rRNA from 1 species